AAGACACCUGAUUGGUUUACAAAAUGAUAGAUGCAUGUCCAAUGAUUCAUUGGUUGAUCCAUUACACAAAAUACCCAAUUGACAAGACACCAUAUAGGUUUACAAAAUGAUAAAAUACACAAUGUUUUUGCUUCAUUACACAAAAUGCCUAGCUGACGCAAACUGCCAUCUUCAUGCAUGCUUACUUCCUGGUCCUCUUGUAUGUCAUUCCUACAAAGGAUAAAAGGGUGACCGGUGAAUUCAUGGAUUCAUAGAGAUAAUGGAAAAAUAAUAAUUGUAUAAAGCGCCAAUGGGAAAAACAAACUGGGAUUUUAGUAUUAUAAAAACAGGGCAUGUUCUAAUUAGAAUCUGUGAUGGGUUAGACAUAAUAAAGCAUCAAUGCCACACCGACCCACCAUAUAGCCUGUAUGAAUCUCCUCAAGCCGCAGACCAGGAAGUAUAUUAAAUGGAAAAGGAGCAUAUGCAUCAUCUGGCCACAAGGCAACAAUUUAGCAUGUCCAGACACCCAAUUAUUGGGAGCAACACAUCCACCAACGGACACAUGAAAGUCAUUUUUGAAGAAAAGACUACACUAGUUCUUUUUCUUUUUGUUCUCUGGGAUGGAAAGACCGCACUUUGCUUCACUAGGUGGCAAUACAUUAGGCAAAAUGAUUACUAUCUAAUACACAGCUCGAAGUUUCAAUGAUGAGUGCAGCAUGGCCUGGGAAAAGCAUUCUCAAAAACCCACAUACAUCAAGAGGUUAUACAUACUUUCCCUAUGUUAGAAAUAAAUUUCAAUGAGAAGAAUCUAUCUGAAAUCAUAUCUAAAUGCGUUACUAAGCACAUGAGGACAUGCAAAAUACCAAACAGAAACAAAAAGUAUCUGAACUUACACUGCAUCUGACUAUUAUAUCCAUAAAAGCAUCGGAGAAAAGCAUCUAUACUUCAGUGCCACAAAUUAGAUUAAAUUGAUGACCGUCCUCUGAUCUCACUGCACUAAGUUUUGGCAAUUGCGGGACAGAUGUGGGCGAAUUAACAAUGACCUUUUUAGAACUAACUUGCUUAUGCCAUAUGCAUGGUAGGAUCACCAUUAAGCACCUGACUUGCUACUGCUCAGGAUUCAGAAACUGAGUAGAUUUCUCCUAUACAGUAGAAAAAUAUUGUUAGGUCGAGGAGGUAUGCACAUAAAUUAAUUUUCAAAUAGAUAUCAGCGCUUUAAAUGGAAUAUCAUGAAGCUUUCCUUCCCCACUAAAAAAACUGGGUCAAGUUUAUCUAAAGAAUGUUCACUUAUGAUAACCAAGAGAAACUAUCUGUACAUACAAGUGUUUUAGAAGCAACAAAUGGAGUACUAACAAAUUAAAGCCCUUAGCUACACUGCUGGUCCUUUGCUUUUUUUUAAAAAAAACUUGCAAGCAUUUCAUAUGUGAGUGGAGUCCUUCUUUUGUUCAGUCAAUCACAUGCUGCUAGAAAUAAUAGAAGACCUUAGCUACGUUCAUGGCAUAUCUUAAAAUGCAUCUAAGCUACACCAAUAUGAGUUUCUCUGCAAUGUACAGAUAAACAGUAAGAGAUGUAUUCAGAAAUAAGUAACAAAUUUCCCCAUAGAUACAAUGGCCUUAUAAACCAGAACAGUCUACAGUUGUUAAACCAUUCUCAUUGCAAAAUUGCCAAAAACUAAUAAGAAAAAUGCAACUGUAACAUCUAUAGAAAAAGACGGAUAAUAAAUUAGAACCAACUUUUCAUAUUUAGUCCAUUUUCGAAAACUACUGAAGAAAAAUAACAAAAAUACUACAGCUGGAAAUCUAUACAAGCGAAAAGGUAAAUUACAAAACCAAUUAAUACAUAUUAACUCUUCAUUCCAGAAGUGAACUAUUCUAGACGUUUUAUAGAACUAGUGAAGCAAAUUCACAGAAAAUACUACUGUAAACUCUAAAGUUCAGAAAUCAAUCACAACCAGUUCAUAGAAAAUUAGCUAACUAAGGUUUGCUGCAACAAUACUGAAAGGAAUACCUGUAGUAUAGACUCUUUUUGCAAUCGUA
rnacentral:lncRNA from 1 species